UGCGUAGGCGGAUUGAUAAGUUUGAAGUGAAAUCCUAUAGCUUAACUAUAGAACUGCUUUGAAAACUGUUAAUCUAGAAUGUGGGAGAGGUAGAUGGAAUUUCUGGUGUAGGGGUAAAAUCCGUAGAGAUCAGAAGGAAUACCGAUUGCGAAGGCGAUCUACUGGAACAUUAUUGACGCUGAGAUGCGAAAGCGUGGGGAGCAAACA
rnacentral:rRNA from 1 species